ensembl:lncRNA
CUCGUAGUAACUUUCCAGAAAAACGAAAGGGUUAUGAUGAGAGAUUAUGUCAUACCCUGGCACAUGCUUUGUCCAAUGGACCAUGGAAGGCUGGCUGACGAGGGCGCACCUCAACAGUAUCAGAGCAACAGCUGUGGGGUGUUUAUGCUGAUGGGGGACAUGCUCUCUAUCAGGAGGUGGUGGUGUGGACAGCUGUUGGAGACCUUUAUGCUUGAAAGCCCUGCAGAACUAGCUGGCUCCUUCUCACCCUCUCCAUCUCCCCAUCUCAGUCACACCUUCCAAUCACUAAGCAGUGAAAGGUUUUACAUACUAUGUCCAUACUUUUCUAUUUACGUAUAUUCUCUCUUGCUCUUUCUCAGACUUUUGAUCGAUCAGUGAUUGCCUUUUUGUUUAAUGGUGUGGGUAGUGUUGGUCUGGUCUUGUGUGAUUGAAUUGAAGGUUGAUUAUAAUCCCUGUUUCUCUCCCUCUCUCUCGCUCUCCUUCACUCUUUUUCGACUCUCUCGCUCUCUCUAGCCCUGCAGGACUAGCUGGCACACCAAGCUCACCCUCUCCAUCUCCCCAUCUCAGCCACACGCUCCAAUCUGGCACAACAGAGGACAGGCCAUUCUUACCACCCGAAGUCCUUCAGCAAAUUGUACAAGAGACGCUGAGACUGGACAUGGCGAUGCUUGGCGUGUUCAACAGGGUUUCAAACACAUUCCGAGAACUAAUCAAGCCUCUCCAUCCUUCCAUAUCUAUAAAUGACAGUUUGGCAGGGGACAUUAAGCUUAAUAAAGACAAUCUCAUAUACAUAACGGUUAGAAAGAUUUACAACAAUGCAGGCUGUGACAGUGGCCUUGCGCUAUGCCUCAAAGGCUUCUCAAAAAAGAAGAAUUGGCCAAUCGCACCCCUGGUACUGAGGCACGUUGCAUAUGGCAGGUUUGUCAUAAAAGAUGUCUGCCUAGCAUAAUGUUCUUUUAUAACUCCUUUUUCGUUUUAUUUGGGACGUCUUUUUUUGCAAUCCCUUUCAUUUGUAAAUGUACAUACUACUGUAGUAAAUGUAAAUGGACUGCAUUUAUAUAGCGCUUUUCUAACCAUUGGCCACUCAAAGCGCUUUACAAUAUUGCCUCACAUUCACCAUUCACGCACACAUUCACACACCAACGGCGGAGUCAACCAUGCAAGGCGACAGCCAGCUCGUCGGAAGCUAACAGUCAGGGUUAGGUGCCUUGCUCAAGGACACCUCGACACUCAGCUAGGAGGAGCCGGGGAUCGAACCAACAACCUUCAGGUUACCAGCCAACCCGCUCUACCUCCUGAGCUACUGCCACCCAAAGUAAAUGUAAAUGUAUCUGCCCAGAAAUGCUGGUAUUUUAUUACUCUCUUUCUUUUUUGUUUUUGUGACAAAUGCUAUACGAUGUAUAACAUACAUUUGUGCUUACGAUGUAUGUUGUAAGGUUAAUUGUUACAGAGCAAUUACUGUAUUUUGUCUUUAUUGAAAACAUUCAGUGGGAAAAGUAAGUGAACACUUGGAGUCAAAUGGCCUACUGUUUGAGCCUUCAUAGUGUCUGGCAACUGGAUUUGAACUGCAUAAUGUCCCAAGUGUUAUUUUAAUCUAU